rnacentral:rRNA from 1 species
CACUGGGACUGAGAACUGCCCAGACUCCUACGGGAGGCUGCAGUCGAGAAUCAUUCGCAAUGGGCGAAAGCCUGACGAUGCGACGCCGCGUGUGUGAUGAAGGCCUUCGGGUCGUAAAGCACUUUCGCUUGGGAACAAGAGAGGCUGUCUAAUAAACAGCUAAUUUGAGGGUACCAGGUAAAGAAGCACCGGCUAACUCCA